AGUUAAUAUCUCUGCAUGUGAAUUUAAAGUUGUAAAGAAGUUGCAAAGAAGAAAAGAUGUUUUUCAUUUAUGUAUUUUGAUCGGGGUAUUUCAAGAACUCAUUCCCUCUUGGUUAUAUGCAGCCAGCGAGUUUGACGGUGGAUUUCAUUGACGGUGAACGUGAUAGCGGAGAAAAGAAUGAGAAAGGCAAUAAAUCCAUCAGUAUCCAGAA